GACGAACCGUGCGAACGUUAUUCGGAAUUACUGGGCGUAAAGGGCUCGUAGGCGGCCAACUAAGUCAGACGUGAAAUCCCUCGGCUUAACCGGGGAACUGCGUCUGAUACUGGAUGGCUUGAGAUUGGGAGAGGGAUGCGGAAUUCCAGGUGUAGCGGUGAAAUGCGUAGAUAUCUGGAGGAACACCGGUGGCGAAGGCGGCAUCCUGGACCAACACUGACGCUGAGGAGCGAAAGCCAGGGGAGCAAACGGG
rnacentral:rRNA from 1 species